rnacentral:rRNA from 1 species
AUUGAACGCUGGCGGCAGGCCUAACACAUGCAAGUCGAACGAGUGGCGGACGGGUGAGUAAUGUAUGGGAAACUGCCUAAUGGAGGGGGAUAACUACUGGAAACUGUAGCUAAUACCGCAUACUACUGGAACUGCCCAUAUGGGAUUAGCUUGUUGGUGGGGUAACGGCUCACCAAGGCAACGAUCCGUAGCUGGUCUGAGAGGAUGACCAGCCACACUGGAACUGAGACACGGCCCAGACUCCUACGGGAGGCAGCAGUGGGUAAUAUUGGACAAUGGGGGAAAUCCUGAUGCAGCCAUCCCGCGUGUAUGAAGAAGGCCUUCGGGUUGUAAAGUACUUUCAGCAGGGAAGCGUUAUCCGCAGAAGAAGCACCGGCUAACUCCGUGCCAGCAGCCGCGGUAAUAC